rnacentral:tRNA from 1 species
UCCAUGUUGUUCAGAUGGUAAAGAAUCUGUCUGCAAUUCAGGAGACUUGGGUUCAAUCCCCAGAUCGGGAA